rnacentral:rRNA from 1 species
ACGCACGCUGGCGGCGUGCUUCACCCCUGCAAGUCGCACGGAAAGGCCCCUUUUUGGGUCCUCGAGUGGCGACCGGGUGAGUAACACGUGCUUAACCUGCCCUUGACUUCGGGAUACCUUCAGGACACUGGGGCUAAUACCGGAUAGGAAUCCUUUCUGCAUGGUGGGGUUUGUAACGCUUCUGCGGGUUUGGAUUGACUCGCGGCUUAUCCGCUUGUUUGUGGGGUAGUGGCUUACCAAGGCUUUGACGGGUAUCCGGACUGAGAGGGCGACCGGCCACAUUGGGACCGAGAGAAGGCAGAGAUGGGGACGAGAGGAAGCAGGGGGGAAGAUUGCACAAGGGGCGGAAGCUGGAUGCAGAAAGGCCGCGGGCGGGAAGACGGCCUUCGGGUUGUAAAACGGUAGUAGCAGGAGAGAAGCCUGUGGUGACGGUACCUGCAGAAGAAGCACCGGCUAACUACGUG